AUGGUAUAUGUUUUUGUUGCAGCCACCCGUUUGCAGUAUUUCAACUUAUUUUUAAAAGAAUCAUGUUGAUUCAUGUAGAUCAUGAUUGGUCAGUUGGGUAAGUUUCAUGAGCCAAUUAGUGCUGUGUUGUGCAUAUAAAAGGGGGAAGUGUUUGGUUUCUUAGGAUGCAUCGUCCUUGGUACUGCCCAUUUUUGACAUGUGGCGCUUUUAAUGAGUGUUAGCAGUUGAGUUAUCAUCCUGUCUGUCGCAUACUGGUUGUUGGCCAGUUUUCAGAUAUGGGGCUGCAAGUAGCUGUAAUCCAGCGUGGUGAGCGACCAUGUGUAUUGCAGUAUUGUACCAUUUCCUUGCAGGUUUGAUUGCACAUCCAGGGGUUUCCAAUGAUCUUAAUUGAAGCCUAACGAACAAAGUAACUGACUGCACUUCUGCUUUGCUCUGUUUUGUUAUAGCUUUUUCUGGAAUUCAUCUAGGUCUGUCUGUUAUAUAUUGUUUUGUAUUGUUUGUUGUGUGGAUUUAGGUGGGAGGGGUUGGCCAUGGUACCUUGUACUGCGUUUCCACAUGGAGUGCUGUGUUUAAUACUUGGUUUUACACGAGUGUGUGUGUGUCAUGGGUAUUGAUUGUGGGGUAGAAAUCUGAGGGUCUUUGCUGGCCACCUCCGUC